CGUGCGCCGUCUGGUAUCGUCGUCACGUUAGCGACGAGGAAUCACCGCUUGUUUGGUUUUCGGCGGACCGCGAUGGACAAAAAGCUGAGCCUUGCGCAAACGAUGAUCUCGGCGGGAGUCUUCUCCGUUAUCUCUUUCUGGUACGGCUUCAUGUUCGGGAGGGAAUCAGCUCGGAAGGAGCUGGGCGGCCUGAUUGAAGACCUCCGUCGAAGUAAUGCCGCGGCCUCCGAUGCCACAACGAAGAGCUCCCAGGAUUAGAGACCAAGUGUAUGGUGCCAAAAGAAACGAAGAUACUUCUUCAAUUGUUAGAUAGCAGCCUUUUCAUGUCCUUGUAAUUUUAGCUUUUUAUGUUCAAACAAGCUCUAAGCAAGUCGGACGGCAUUUUGGUAUGUUAUUUUUCUUCUUUUUCC